rnacentral:rRNA from 1 species
GACGAACGCUGGCGGCGUGCUUAACACAUGCCAGUCGAACGGAAAGGCCUGCUUUCCCUUGUGGAUUGCGGGCACUCGAGUGGCGAACGGGUGAGUAACACGUGAGUGAUCUGCCCCCAACUUGGGUAUAAGCCUGGGAAACUGGGUCUAAUUCCCGAUAGGACUGCAGGGUGGUGCCUGUGGUGGAAAACGAUUUUCUAGUGGUUGGGGAUGAGCUCGCGGCCUAUCAGCUUGUUGGUGGGGUAAUGGCCUACCAAGGCGGCGACGGGUAGCCGGCCUGAGGGGGUGGACGGCCACAUUGGGACUGAGAGACGGCCCAGACUCCUACGGGAGGCAGCAGUGGGGAAUAUUGCACAAUGGGCGGAAGCCUGAUGCAGCGACGCCGCGUGGGGGAUGACGGCCUUCGGGUUGUAAACUCCUUUCGACCGCGAGGAAGCCACCUGGUUGGAAGGGUGGUGACGGUAGUGGUAGAAGAAGCACCGGCUAACUACGUG